rnacentral:misc_RNA from 1 species
GAAAUGCGAUAAUUAAUGUGAAUUGCAGAAUUCAGUGAAUCAUCGAGUCUUUGAACGCACAUUGCGCCCCCUGGUAUUCCGGGGGGCAUGCCUGUCCGAGCGUCAUUGCUGCCCUCAAGCACGGCUUGUGUGUUGGGCUUCCGUCCCUGGCAACGGGGACGGGCCCAAAAGGCAGUGGCGGCACCAUGCCUGGUCCUCGAGCGUAUGGGGCUUUGUCACCCGCUCCCGUAGGUCCAGCUGGCAGCUAGCCUCGCAACCAAUCUUUUUAACCAGGUUGACCUCGGAUCAGGUAGGGAUACCCGCUGAACUUAAGC